ACCCUCAUAUUAGGAUACCUUACUUUCACUUGCUUCAUUAAAACAACACUAACCAAUUCAAUAUUUUCAAUACUAUAUUUUAAACAUAAGCGUCAACAAUUUACAAUAUUUACUAUUUUUUCAUAUUUGGCAACCUUGAGUUUUUUUAAUAUAUAUAAAAGCAUGAAAUGAAAUUACAAAAUGACGUUUUAUGUAGAUUAGACAAAUUAAAUUAAUAAAAAAAACAAUAAUUCUCAAAAUGAGGCAUGAGACUCAUUAAAAAGCAUCAACAGUAAGAUAAAAUCUGCAUAAAUAAAAAAUAGACCGCAUCAGGUGAAUUUGCAAAUUUUGUUCAAGUUGUCACUAUUAACAUAUAUAUAUAUAAGAGGAUGGUAAAGGGUUAUUUUCUUGCAAUGUGUUUUGCCAUAUAUAUUUCAUGUGCAGCCGUGUUUUGUGAAAUCGGUAAAAAGAUCAAGGUGCAAGACAUUUUUAAUUGUUGGUUCGACAUGAAAUGGCAACUUUAUUUCGCACUCUUCUGUGCAGAUACCUCUCCCCCUUUUAUGCCUCUCAUAUAAGUACCUGAUUGAAAAACAGUUUAACUGCAGAACAAUCUCUUGCUACUCAGUAGGAAUUGCACAUACAUGUACUUAUUUUUCUUUCUUUCUAAAAGCAGAUGUGUGCAAAAAUAGCAAAUAUAUGAACAUGUUGAAAAUGAAAUUUUUAUGGAUAACUGAUAAAAUGAUAAAAUUUGACAAGGGCCAGAGGCAGAGACAAAAUUUUAUAAAUAAACCUGAUGUGGUCAUACAAUCAACAACUGAACAAGAGAGAAUAAAAUUAGAUCUAUUCUAAUUGACAUUUCAAAUGAACUGUAAUUUAUCGUAUAUACAGUGCUGUAAAUUCAGAAAUUUUUGCAUUUAUUUUUGUGAUUUUUGAUCAAUGAAUGAAAUGCAUGUUGAAUUAACAUGAUUUAAAAAAAUGCUGCAAACAAUUAAUGCUGUAAAAAUUUAAUAAGGGAGUUCUUAUUUUUGAGAAAUCCUUUCCAAUUUUCCACAAUAAUAAAAACAUCUCAUAAAUUUCUGAAUUUACAAAAAGAACAUAUUAUGAUGAAGUGUUUGCUCUCUUCCUCAUUAACCUUCAAUAUGGACUUGUCAUCACAAAAAGUCUGUAAAACUAUAUGUGAAAGUAUAUAUGAAAAAUAUCUCCAAAUGAAAUAUAUUGACAUUACAUAAUUUACUGACUGAGCUACUUGAUUGAGCUAUAUAAUAUCAUUGUACACUAUUAGAUCUUGGGAAAAAAUAAACAAGUAAUAAUAAAAUAACUGAUUGAAGAAUUCAAAUAUAGAAAAAUAUUUAGUGAGUUCGAGGUCUAAAAUUUUUCUAUUUAAUCAUUCAAAUAUUCAAUAAUAUUAAAACAGGUUCAGAACCAAACAUCUUAAAAUUCUAUAUAAAGUUUCUUUUUAUAGUGAAGUACAUUCUUAGAAAACAGGGUUUUUUUUUCUUAAUAUGAAAACAAUGAUGCUUAUCUUUUCAAGGCAAGAUAAAAAUGUCAUGGAGUUUGUCAGUGUGUUCCCCUGUAACUAUACCAGCUUGUAAAAAUCAAUGUGAUCCAAUUUUGUACAGGUUUGUUCCAUGCAAAAGAUGCUGUUUUUCUGUUUUGUUUAUAAUGUUUUAAUAAGUUAUGCUGACCUUAAAAAAAACCUUGAUAAGAAAAUAACAGCAACUGUGAUAUUGGUCAUAAUUAAUAUCAAAUAGUGUCUCUUAUUCCAUAUUGGAAUUAUUUUAGUAGGUUUCUCUAAAUGAAUUGGAUUUUGAAUAAAAAAGCAUAUUCACCUGAGAAAGUGUUAUUCACCGCACUAAACGUCACAUGCUUUUACAUGCAACGAUAUGAUAAAAUGUUUCAUGUAAAAUUUGUUUUGGUAUAUGUUUGUCAUUAAAUACAUUUUCUUCUCUCCGAAUAUAGAAUAAAACAAUUACUGUCUUUUGUUUCGGUAAAUAUGGGUUUUAAUUGACUUUUGAAAAACGGAUAUUAACCUCGGCCGUCGGCCUCAGUGAAUAUCCUUUUUUCAAAAGUCAAUAAAACAGCAUAUUUACCUUAUUAAAAGACAGUAAUUUUAUAUUAUCAAAAAUUGAAAUAAGAAUUGAAUGCUUCUUUUUGUUACUUCAUUGGGGUGUAAAAGCGUUGAGCGAAGUACAUUUUGUAUGAAGUGCGGAUGCGCUUCAUUCUAAAAAUGUGCGCACGGUCAAUGCUUUUACAAACCCUAUGAAGUUACAAAAAGAAGCAUUCAAUACUUAUAAUUACAUUUUUUAGCUAUAGGAUCAUGAAAACACGAAUUUUAUAUUUUUUUUAUUUAAUUCACCUGUGCACUUUAUUGUGGGACCUCCUGUUAUCAUGAAUGAUAAGUUUUAAUUGAGUAAUGCAAUUGCUUAAGGAAUAACACAUGAUGUGCAGGUAGCCAAUCAGAAUAACGUAUUAUAAUGAAACAUACAUCUAAUGUAAUUAUAUAUGAAUAUUAGUUGUCUUUUUGAUUUUUUGUGUGGUUAGGUUGGUGUUGAGUUGACAUAUUAUAUAUCAGUAACUUGGUUAUGGGUCGGUACCACACAAUUCAUUAGAGUUAAAAAAUAAAACAAAAAAUUUCAACUUACAAAAUAAAUAAAUAUUAUAUCAGCAUUGUUUUUUGCUUUGCGAGCUAAUGUUUAGAACAAUGUUUCUGUUACUAACAAGCAUGAAAUUGAAAGAAAACAUUAACAUAAAAACAACAGUCCAUUUGCCUUACAAAAUAUUGUAUUAUAGCUUUAAAUCAUGCUUGAAAUAGUCUAUUAAUGUGAAAUCAUUUGUGUUUGGGGGAUUCCAAAUUUCAUGGAUUUUGAAAUCAUCUUUUUUAUGGAAACCUUGAUUUUGUGAUUUUGACAAACUCUACAUUCUUGAAGAAUCUUAUAAAUUUUGAUUCAGCACUAUACCAGCAAAAUCUAUUAAAAUUAGUACCCCCAAAAAAUAAUGAAUCCACUAUGCAUUAUCUUGUGACAACAUGCCGUCUAAAGACCAAAAUUACAAGUAAUAUGUCUAGCUUUCUAGAAAAACAGUCUAGCUAAAAAAGUUCAAUAUUAAUUAUAUAUAUAUAUAUAUAUAUGGUUUUUAAUAAAUUUACUUUUUUGUUGUAACAAAAAUACAUACACUUUUAGAUUGUUCGAAAAAAAUUAGAUACAAAAUACAAUGC
rnacentral:lncRNA from 1 species